rnacentral:lncRNA from 1 species
UUUUUUUUUUUUGGCAAAACAGGCUCCAUGAAGCCCAGCCUCUGCAACACCGCACUAGCUUCGGAUGAGGUAUUUUGAGUGGACCAAGCAUGUCAGAGUUCGAGAUGAAGGAGAUCCGAACGUCUACAACCUCCCCUGUGUUUACUUCCGUUUUGUGGGAUUUCAAACAUGCGGAUCUAUCCAGACAAAAUUGUGGACCGGUGUUAGGCGGCAAAAGAUUUGUGGAAUUUCAAACAUGCAGAUCUAUCCAGACAAAAUUAUGGACCGGUAUUGGACGGCAAAAAAUCAAAAUUAUGGACUGGUGUUGGAUGCCAAAAAAAUGUCCGAACAGUCCACUCCAAACACUGGCCAGAACAGCCACGCCAAAGAGAAACGCAACGGGACGUCCUCACAAACCUUAAACAGCAACAGCUGCCGUGAAGCAUUGCUUUUAGCUGCAGAUCGUGAUAUCUUUUGAAUAUUCGUUCCGUGCUAGUACCUGCCUAGAUAGUCAUCAGGAUCAUGAAAGGUUUAGAUGACUAUGCGUAAUAGUGACUACACGUCUCUAGAGAAUAGAAACGUAACAAGACGGUGACACAUUAAGAUUCAAGAAACAGUUUCAUCAGCACAUAAAAAUCCAUGCACGGCAUCCGAAUAAUCCAACAGUACAAAUGUUACAGAAAAAAAAAACAUAUCUUGUCUUUAAGACCAACUACAUACGCUAGAGUCAUCCAGUCAAGAGAAAUCCCGCUUCCGCAAUUGUAUCAGCAGCAAAAGAACACAAAUGCCAACGAAGAACAAUACUCGGCCGCCUGGCCAUUCAAUAGUCAUACCAAAACAUUCAAGGAAACAAGCGGAG